AAAAAGACAAACCCUGGGUUUCCAUGCCAACGUUUUACUGUCCGUCUUAUAUGAUUUUUUUUAUAAUUAGUAUUUCCAUUGUUGUUAGAUGAUAAAACAUGAUUAAUACUUUAUGCGUGAUUUAUCUUUUUAAUUUUUUCAUAAUUUUUUCAAAUAAGACGGACGGUCAAACGUUGGACACAGAAACCAGAGUUUGUCUUUUUU
rfam:Oryza glumipatula chromosome 3, whole genome shotgun sequence.